GCAACAGGAAAACCAAACAAAUAAAUAGAUUUAAUCACAUAAAACUCACAAUUUAACAUCUGUUGUUAUUUUUCUUCCAGUUGUGGUGAAGCAAAGUUUUCUUUGGGUUACUAAAAACAAAUAACAAAGAUAGAUAGAUGAUUUCUAUGAAGCAAUUUUGUAAUGUAAAAAAACAACAAAUCUGACAAAAAAAGAUGUAAAACCCCACAAAGAUAAUCUGCAUCUGAAAUCGACUUGAGGUGAUCAUCUGAAAUAGAAUUUAUGCCAUAAUCUGAAAUCAAUUUGAGUAAGAACACGAGAAUCGUCGGUCAGUGUUGUGAAAUCAAAAUGCACCAUUGAAACUCAAAACCAGAUUCAUUGAUGGCUUUGUAGGUGUGGGACAGAACUCAUUUCUGUUAUCGUUUCUUCCCCCUUAUUGUAUGCUCGUAUCCUUCUCAUUCUCACCAAGUCUCACCACCACCUCUGGUCGUAUCAGAUAUUCAGGAUAUUCAAGACUAUAGAUCAGCAAAAUCAAAGCGAUCCUUCAUAUAAACCAAGAUGAAAACGAAAUUGUUUUGAAAACCUGUAAAUUCUAAUGCGGACCAUGGAUCUGGGGUUGAAGUGGACGACAAUGGCGGCGACGUCUCUGGUGGUUAUUGAAUGACCCGAUCACGUUUCUAGAGGUUGAACAGAUAUUGGCGGUAGCACGGGGGGUUUGACAGUAACGGUGGCCGCUGGUGGCCGGCUGCCGGAAUAGGAGAGAGAAGAGAUAUCAACGAUGAAGAAAAGGGGGAAAAGGAUGCAUUUCUCAUGUGUAAUUUACCAGAGAAGAAAACGGUGAGGGUGCAGUGGGCUGAGAAAACCAAACACAAGACCCUAAUCCUAGAACCAAACAUCCCCCUGAUGUCAUAGAAGGGUAAAAUCGAAAAAGAGAGCAAUCAUGACAAUUUUUAUGUAAAUGUGCGGUUUUUGUAGACACAAAAAUGAACUUAGGACAUUAGGACAUAACCGAACAUUUUUU
rnacentral:lncRNA from 1 species